AGUUGGUUAUUAUGUCUCCACUAAUGAGCAGAGAGGUAGUAAAAAUCUUACAAAGUAAGUUUAUGUGGGUCAAGGUAUAGUGAUUUAAUUGGUAGUUCUAGUUCUAUUUUACUUUGAGAAAAAUUAGAGUUGUUUAAAGCAGCCUCUUGGGGCACUGAAUACAUUAGCAUGGGAUAAUAAAAUAGGAUCUUCACAAUAUAUUUUAUUGGUUUAAAUUGGAUAUGAAGAUAAUGAUUAAUAGGGACAGUUGGGGGUAUUCAUAUUGGGUGGUUAGCGGUGAAAUGCUCGGAUCCAUUCAAGAUGAACUAAAGACGAAAGCAUUUACCAAGGAUGUUUUCAUUAAUCAAGAACGAAAGUUAAGGGGAUCGAAGACGAUUAGAUACCGUCGUAGUCUUAACUAUAAACUAUGCCGACCAGGGAUAUGAGUUGUUAGGAUUAUAUGAAAAUAUAAUCAAUUUCUUCUUAUGAACCUUGUGAGAAAUCAUAAGUUUUUUGGGGUUCUGGGGGGGAGUAUGGUCGCAAGGCUGAAACUUAAAGGAAUUGACGG
rnacentral:rRNA from 1 species